AACAGCUCAAAUUUGAAAUCUGGCCCUUCCGGGGUCCGAGUUGUAAUUUGUAGAGAGUGCUUCGGGGGAGAGUGCGGUCUAAGUCCAUUGGAACAUGGUGUCAUAGAGGGUGAGAAUCCCGUACGUGACCGCGGAUCGAACCCGUGUGAAGCCUCUUCGACGAGUCGAGUUGUUUGGGAAUGCAGCUCAAAAUGGGUGGUAAAUUUCAUCUAAAGCUAAAUAUUGGCUGGAGACCGAUAGCGCACAAGUAGAGUGAUCGAAAGAUGAAAAGCACUUUGAAAAGAGAGUUAAACAGUACGUGAAAUUGUUGAAAGGGAAGCGCUGGCAACCAGACCUGCCCGUAGGCGAUCAACCGCUGUUCUCAGCGGUGCACUCGUUCUGCGAUCAGGCCAGCAUCGGUUUCGGCGGUCGGAUAAAGGCCUUGGGAAUGUAGCUUCCUUUCGGGGGAGUCUUAUAGCCCUCGGUGCAAUGCGGCCAGCCGGGACCGAGGACCGCGCUUCGGCUAGGAUGCUGGCGUAAUGGUUGUCAGCGACC
rnacentral:rRNA from 1 species